GGAAGCGACCUGACUCUCUGAUGUCUGAUAAGUCCUUUGAGCUCCCAGACAGUUCCUGCAGUGAGCCGUCAACCAGUUCACAGACUAGUCCAGCCAAGUCCACUGGUCCCAGCAAUGCCCUCUUAUAAGAGUGAUGCUUCCAAGUACCAGCCCUUAAAUUUUCCUCUUUUGGAAAAACAAAGCCAGCUGACUGAAGAGGCGUCCAGCUAUUCAGUGUGUAAGGAAGAUUUAAUCUGU